UCCACAUUGAAUCAUACUCACCACAAGAAAAUGUUAUAAAAUAAUAACAAAACACUUCACCUUAUCGAAAAUAUAAUUAUUAGUUUAUUAUAAAAACUUUUGAGUGAUAAGAGUACACAUAUACAAACAUAGGUAGCAUCUUAUUGUUCAACGGCAGUAAUAAACAAGGCAAUAUUACACAUAUUACAAAUUGCACAACAAAAUC
rnacentral:lncRNA from 1 species